rnacentral:rRNA from 1 species
UACGUAGGGAGCGAGCGUCGUCCGGAAUCAUUGGGCGUAAAGGGCGCGUAGGCGGUUUUUUAAGUCAAAUGUGAAAAUCCAGGGCUUAACUCUGGGACUGCGUUUGAAACUGAAAGACUAGAGAUCAGGAGAGGAAAGUGGAAUUCCUAGUGUAGCGGUGAAAUGCGUAGAUAUUAGGAAGAACAUCGAUGGCGAAGGCAGCUUUCUGGCCUGACACUGACGCUGAGGCGCGAGAGCGUGGGGAGCAAACAGGAUUAGAUACCCUGGUAGUCCACGCCGUAAACGAUGGAUACUAGGUGUAGGGGGUUCGAUUCCCUCUGUGCCGCAGUUAACGCAAUAAGUAUCCCGCCUGGGGAGUACGGUCGCAAGAUUGAA